rfam:Capsaspora owczarzaki ATCC 30864 unplaced genomic scaffold supercont2.6, whole genome shotgun sequence.
AUUGCGUUGGUGGAGUGGUCAACACGCAGAACUUAAGAUUCUGUCCUUCUCAAAGGUCGCGGGUUCGAACCCCGCACGCGGCU